CCACACUGUCUAGUGACUGGGCUGCCAUCUUAUUGGGCUGUCCAGUCUCAUUUCAGUGUCAGAUUAACCUCAGUCGACAAAAGGGUUGGGCUCUUCCCUUUCGAAGGCCGAGAACAUUU